AUUGAACGCUGGCGGCAUGCCCUACACAUGCAAGUCGAACGGCAGCACGGGUGCUUGCACCUGGUGGCGAGUGGCGAACGGGUGAGUAAUACAUCGGCACAUGUCCUGUAGUGGGGGAUAGCCCGGCGAAAGCCGGAUUAAUACCGCAUACGAUCUACAGAUGAAAGCGGGGGACCUUCGGGCCUCGCGCUAUAGGGUUGGCCGAUGGCUGAUUAGCUAGUUGGUGGGGUAAAGGCCUACCAAGGCGACGAUCAGUAGCUGGUCUGAGAGGACGACCAGCCACACUGGGACUGAGACACGGCCCAGACUCCUACGGGAGGCAGCAGUGGGGAAUUUUGGACAAUGGGCGAAAGCCUGAUCCAGCAAUGCCGCGUGUGUGAAGAAGGCCUUCGGGUUGUAAAGCACUUUUGUCCGGAAAGAAAUCCUUGGCCCUAAUACGGUCGGGGGAUGACGGUACCGGAAGAAUAAGCACCGGCUAACUACGUG
rnacentral:rRNA from 1 species